rnacentral:misc_RNA from 1 species
GAGAUAAUUGCACACUGUGAGGCACACAGCGGGACAAAGAAUGAUGGAUGGCAUCGAGGAGAACAUUACACGGGCCUCUGAUGGCGUCGAGGAGAGCAUGUGUUUACAUGGGUCUUUAAUGGUUCAAGGUGACUAGGUAAGCAUUGAUGGUGCGAACCGUACACUGGUGUGAUGCUCAUCGAUGGUUCUCUCUCUGAUGGUGCGACGCAAUGAUGCUUUGGAGUCUGAAAGUGAGACACAACUAGUGGGAGACAGAGGUGAUACACAUUUGUUGCAGCCAAUGGAUGGAAUCGUGGAGGUGGAGGUG